GCCUCCGCCUCACUUCAGCUGCGGACACAAGGCAGGGAGCUUCAAAGAGCCCGUGGACCGACAGAGGCGAGGGGCGCUGUAAUGUUGAGUCGCUGGGCUGUGGCGUCUGAGCAACACUUUGAUGGAGUAACACCCGCUGCUGCCGGUUGAAACUCAUCAUUUUGGGUUCGGGAGGGAACGAGAGCGCGUGCCCACGCGGAGACUGAAAAAAAAAAAAAAAAAAAAAAUGCUCUUCUAGCGCGAGCGCUGACGGGUUCGCUUCACAUAAAUUCAACUUUGGAGCCAUUAUUUGCUUCCCUUCUUGUUUCUGCUUUGGAGCCUGGAGCAACUUUUGUUUCCGUCGUGUUUUAACCUGCUGUCCGUUUGACUCGGAGCGUGAAGAGCCGUGGACGAGAUGGAGAGCGAGAAGUACUUACCGGAGCUUCAGGCGGAGAAGGACUCGUUGGACCCGUCUUUUCAGCACUCCCUGCGGCUGCUGGAGCAAGAGAUCGAUAAAAUCCAGAGAGAUGAGGGGAAGGAGGAGGAGAAGUUCAUUGACGUUGUCAUCAACAAGAACAUGAAACUGGGCCAGAAAGUUUUAAUACCAGUCAAGCAGUUUCCUAAGUUUAACUUUGUCGGCAAGCUCCUUGGGCCACGCGGGAACUCGUUAAAGAGACUACAAGAGGACACCCUCACAAAGAUGUCGAUUCUCGGAAAAGGAUCCAUGAGAGACAAAGAGAAGGAAGAAGAGCUACGGCAGAGCGGCGAGGCCAAAUAUCACCAUCUGAACGAAGACUUACAUGUCCUCAUCGAGGUAUUCGCCCCGCCAGCUGAGGCCUAUGCCAGGAUGGGCCACGCUCUAGAAGAGAUCAAGAAGUUUCUCAUUCCAGACUACAAUGAUGAGAUCAGACAAGCCCAGCUGCAGGAGCUCACAUACCUGAACGGCGGCUCUGAGGAUGCCAAGGUGCCAUCGGUCAGGGGCAAGUCGGCAGCCCGUGGCAGGGGGACACCUGUUCCAGGGCCUCCAAGGAGUCGUGGAGGAGUUCCACCGCUGCAUGCAGCAGUUCCCCGAGGAGCGGCGCCCCGAGGAUCUCCGCCCAGCCGGGCCCCAUCCUCCAGAGGAAGAGGGGUCCAAAGAGCCAGAGGCGCCCCACCAGCUGCUGGAUACAGGGCAGCUCCACCCAUAGUGCAGGACACAUACGGUGAAUAUGAUUAUGACGACGGCUACGGAACCGCUUACGAUGACCAAGGGUACGAGUCUUACGACAACAGCUACAGUAAUCAAGGACAAAACUCAGAUGACUACUAUGAAUAUGGACACAGCGGGGAGUCAUAUGAGUCGUACGGUCAGGAAGAGUGGGCAAACAGUCGCGGCAAGGCUCCGUCGGUGCGGACGACCAAGGGAGCGUACAGGGAUCAGCCAUACUCCAGAUACUGAACUGUUUUUACGAGCCGCACCUCCUUCCCCCUGAUGCCCAUGGCGGUUUCAACCCAAGUAAUGGAUUUUUUUUAUGGACGCUCCCAUAUUUUUAGAAUUGAAAACCGAAUCCGCGACGUAACACAAAAACAAAACGCUGAACUGAAAGUAUUAUAACAUGAAAAUCAUGCUCUUGACUUGGAAAAGAAAUAAACCAUCAAGCAGUUUAGGUAAGCUAUCCGCCCUCUCUGCAGUAGAAUCGACAGAAAGUUAAGGCUAAAAAGAAAAAACAGACUCCAUAGUACAUUAAGUUUCUCUCUCAGCUAUGUGAUUGUGAAGAAUGACAUUGUAACAGACUAUUUUACAUGGUAAUGAUUAGUGAGCCACUGUAAGCUGUUGGAUACAAUGCUUCCACACAGCUGCCAGCGCAACUUAAUUUAUCACCCUCUAUUCUUUAGACCUCUGAAAUGUUAGUAGAUUAGUUUCUAGGAAAGUGCAGUACUGUAGAUACUUUCUCCUGAAGGAUAAUUGGUGAACUUUGUGUCCCUUGUAAAUGAAACAUUUGCAAACUAAAAAAAAGAAGAGAUAAGUCAUUCUGUAUACACAUUGUAUUGCUGUUUCUUCCUCUUUUUUUAAUGUAAAACAACAGUCCAGUUAGUGUAAAAGGGCUUAUAGAAGCAUGGUGUGCAACUGUGGACGUUACCAGCUGUUUAAAGAAGCCUGUGUAGUUGUGAUCAUUGGUUUUGCCCCCAAACAUUUCCUUAAGUCCAGUCAGAAAUAGCUGCGCCUGCUUUCUGUACGCUGAUCCACCGUAGCUGCCAGACACUUUGGGAGUUUUCAAAUGUCUGCCUUUCUUUUUAGAUGCUCCUGCUGAGCAUUUGUGAUGCUCCUGGUUUUUAUGUUUUUUGAGAAUAUGAAACGUGAUACGUGCUGGUAAAAAGUUUACAUUCCCUCAUCUUAGGCAUGAAUGUCCUCUAAACUAUGGUGAAUUUGAAUCAGUCUUUCUCUGGGUGUAAUGAGGAUACAACAUGAUUUUGAGGAUGCAAAAGUUUGAGUUUGUUAAUGGAUUUACUCCAAACUAGAUCAAAAGUUAUACAUUCAGGCUCAGAUGGUUACAGAUACUUCCUGUAAUUUGGUUACAUUUAGAUUUACAGGUGGUAAAGAACAUAUAGAUAUUCUGCCAUGAUUCUGCCUGAACUGGUAGGUUUCUGGCACAUGAGGUAGUGGUACACUGGGUGCCCAUAUACACCGGCUGACCUUGUGACCUUUACUGCAUGUCUUCUUCCCUUCCUCUCUCUGCCCAUUUCCUGUUUGAUUACUACAAGUAAAGGUCAUUAGUGCCACAAAAAAAAGAAAAGAAAAAAUUUCAUAGGUUUCUUGGACUGACCUGGCUUUCAAGCACAGUCUGCAAAUCAUGAAUAGGGAAAGGUCAGGGACAUGUUAGCCUACUUUAUCAGUUCCAAAAUACAUUUUGAUGUGUGUUUGGGUUCAUUGACCUGCUGGAACAUGAUGUUGUGCAAGAAAAACACCACGUAUAUGGGUUUUAGAGCAGCUGCUAGAUUAUAAGAUUUGUUUUCUUCACAAGACACAAGAACAUUCUCCUUAUCUCAGCUAAUGUUUAACACCUAAGUACAGGUCCUGACUCCUGACAACAGAUAUUUUCUAUGUAGCAAACAAGAACAAUUCAGACAAUAGCUGAUGUUCACAAUACCAAGAUUUGACUAGUAAACGGCAAAAAUGUUAGUGUAAUUUCCUGACUUUUGGAGAAUUGUUCUGCUGUGCUGAUUUACUCUGUGAGGUUUGGUUCAGCAUAAAAAAGUGUUAUCAUGCAUUUGUAUGAUUCACACCCAAUAGUGCGGUAGAUUUGUCUUGAUUGGGGACCAAAGUUGCAACAUUUGUUCCAUUUUCAGCUGAUGAACCACUGAGCCAAACGAUAUGAAAAGCUCUGAAGAAGACACUGAGCGCAACAGCUUGCUUCAAGAAAUGUAAAUAAAAAUGGAGUGGCAGAUUUCUGACACUUCUGACAAGUUCUUCAGUUUCACCUCAGCUGCUACAUACUUGAAACUUAGUCAUAGUUGGUUGUUGGAACAGGACAAUAAUCCAAACAGCUAUUAAGCUUUGUUUUGGUCCCAACCUUUACCUCAUUGAAGUUGAUUUAUGAAAUGUGCUUAAAGGCCAGGGCAGGGCAAUGAGGGUAAUCAGAAUGAAUUCAACCAAUUUAGGCAGAAUUAGGCCAGAAGCUUGGCCACGAAACUGUGUAGUUUCUCUUCCACUUGCUAUGACACAUUUAACCAAAUCUAAAGGGAGUGUAUGGAUAUAAUUAAGCUUUUAUGGGUAACUUUAAUCACACGUGGAUGAGGGAAAUUUAUAUUUGUGCUCCCAAUCCUUCCCAAAACUCAGUGAAGUUGCAAUUAUCCUCAUUACAACCAGACAAAAAGAGCAGGCAAAAGUAAUCACAGUUACGACGUUCAUGUACGUAAUCGGUGUGUGUAAAUUUUUGACCAGAACCUUACCGUUACCUUUCUCCACACUUGUUUUUGAGUUUCAGUCUCAUCACCACCUUUCCACCUAUCCUCCUGGAGAUAUGUUCAACUCUAUGGAUUGUGAGCUUAUGCUGAGGUCAGAGCUGACCACCGCUGUCUGUCCAAACACGUUCCUACUGCUGAAGGAUUAAAGAACAAUGGACGCGUCUUUCCAGAAGCAUUGUCCGAACGAAUCGGCGUCCAAAUUCACAGAAGAUCUUUGUUUGACCAUUUGUUGCUUUUUUAAAAACAUUUACAAUGUGGACUGUGGUCAUUACUUCAUGGCUUCGGAAAAAGAUGGAAAGUGACUUGUUUGGAGACGCAGAAAACAGGGUUGGAAGCUACAUCACAUGCAUCAGACCUCGUCGUUCUCCGGAGAAAAGAGCAAAAAAAAAAGCCGUGAAUGGGCUUCAGCGUCCGCCGGGACUCAGAGAAGAAAAACUCUUUCAGAGCAUCAUUGACUCUCCGUAACUUCUUCACACUGUUCUCACACUGAACUGUUCUGGAUCGACUGCGAGCCUGAACCCGUCUCUCCUGUUUGCGGUAGAGAAGAUGUGUGAAACUUUUAUGGUAGACGUCAACCGUUGCCUGCCUGGAUGGAUGAGUUUGUGAAUAAUGCAGCAUGCCCAGGGAGGAACAUCGUCAUCCUAAAGGGAUUUCUGUUUUUCUCUCAUUGUUGUCAAUAAUUUCAAUCUGGUGUGCCCGAGUGAAUUAACAACUCAAAAAGUGCCUUUCUGUGACAGUUUUAGACAUUUUUGAGCUAAAAUUCAGCUGCCAGACUAGCUAACUGUUUUCUUUUCUACUGUGUGUCACCACGAUGUUAGAGACUCCUUUCCGUCCUCACAGACGACGGCGCCCCGUUGCAGAUGCAUCGCUUAAUCACGCUCCACUUCGGUGGAUAUUCCAAUUCUGAAAUAGCUUUUCCGCCGAUGCAGAGUGUGCUCCGUAAGUCCAGACGGACUCAUCCCUAUUCCACACACUUGUAAGUUCUCAAAGGCAGACAAUAGUUUUCCAUUAGAGGAAGCGAUUGUCGGCGGAGCCCCGGGCACAGCCUCAGACAAUAACACGGCGACCCAAAGCUCACAUGUCGGCCUGCCGGAGUCAACUCUCAUCACCUCCAGGGACUGAUUCCCACUCUGAAGUGGCUUAAAGACACAGGCUUAUCUGAAGUAAGCUUGUCUGAGUUAAUAGAGAAAGAACAGCUUAUUUGAUUAAGAAUGCAUACAAAGGAGGAUGUAGUGAUCUGUGGCUAGGAGACGAGUCAAUUUCAGCUCCAGAGUACAAAUCAAUGUGUCUCUAACAGACCAUAAGACUGCUUAGCUCAGCAAUGAAAUUAGACUGAGGUGAAAUACUAAAGCAGUGAUGAACUUGUGAAUAAGGGACAACUUUUGCUGAAGAUGUUACAUUGCCCUGUUGCGAUGGUGUUUGCUUGUUUCCUUUACGAUUGUGAGUCAUAUAUGAACUCAUCUUUACUUCACCAUUGCCAUGCUGUUUAGUCAUGUUCAUAAGGGCCAUCUUCAGCUGGAAUCAUUGCUGUAUAGCUAACAAUUAAUCUGACUUGACUUAACAGAUACGUAAUCCUCCGAUUGCUAGGUUCCAUUAGGUUCCUCUACUGCAGGGUUUCAUUUUGGACCAUAUCUAGAUCGCACAUGUUUUCAAAUUGUUGAAAAAUGUAAAGCAAACUGUUCAAUCAUUAAAGUGGUAGUAUUAUCUAUUUUCCAGGCAUAUAAUGCCAUUUUAUAGCACAAUCAAAUAACAAUGUUAACUUCAGUUUUUAUAAAUAUGCUGUAUGUAUCAAAUAUGUCUUAAAAGAAAUUUGACUUUGCAUUUCAAUGCCUUGAAGUUGGACCUCUGUCUCUUUAAGAAACUCUUGCUUUUUCUGAAACUCCACCCCAACAGGAAGUCAGUGACCCCUGAAAAGCUGGUCAGACUGAAAGGUCUUCAAGAAACUCUCCCUGUGGUUGCUAGUUUUUGCAAGUAUUGCCAGGCUGAAGGUUAAAGUUUAAACAGUUUGUGUCCAGGAUGUGUGGGGUCUGCAUAUAUGUAUGCUUCCUUUCUCCUGACCUUAGACUUGUACAACAGGAAAGGUCAGCCCUGAUUCCAGACAUAUAAAUACCUAAUUAUCAAAUCAGCAGUGUUGUCCCUUACUGACUGACUACUAUUUUUAUCUGAAUUUCAAUACUUUUUCUGAACGUCGAAAACGGUUAUAAAAUGGAACACAUUAUUUUAUCGUGCUAUAUUUAAGUUUGUGCACACAUGAAAAAUUAUUAUGUAUAAUAAUAUUGUGCUGUAUUAGCCUCUGAAGCUGUAACCCAUACGACAUCAUACCCCAAACAACAUGUUCCAGCUAUUGCCAGGCUCACUUUUAUAAACAAUAGGAAAUUACGUUUUUAUUCAUGUUUUAAACACAAAUGGAAAAUGCUCAUUAGGAGUGUAACCAGACUCAUAAUAUUAAAACAUGACAGUAUUUCUCGUCGAGGUAAAUACCAUCUUGUUAGCAAUGACCAUUUGCCUGAUGAUGUUUUAGGAGAAGUUGCCCAAACUACUCUGAAAUCAUUUGCUUGGCAGCAUUUUGGGUUUCCAGUAGGAACAAAUAAUGAGAACAGACGGACAGAUAAGACACGAACAAUAUAUUAGCACUGCAAGUUGUUCAGAUACUGAAGGAAGCAGAAAGCAACACUGUAACAGCCAAUGGUGGGACGUCUAGCAGUACGUGGAGAUACGUCAUGAUCACAGAGAACUUUGUCAGUAGUAACUGGACCUGGUACUGCGGACCAUGCAGUACAAGUUCUGAAGAGAUAAAAAGAAAUCCUAAAAAGA